ACUGAGGGUGUGCAUGGUGAGGUACUCCAGCUCUGCUUAUAGGAGCCACUAUUUAAGCUACAGAAGCUCCAGCAAUUUAUAACCGGAGUUUCACAAGCUUUUGGCUUCUUGAUUCCCACUGAUUCACAGACUUGGGUCACCUCAGGCGCACAGUGAAUUGUAAAAGACUAAAGACUGGAGCCCCAUCUGCUCAUCCCUACAGCAGAAUCUGAAGCCUAGGGCCAGGCUUGAAAGUUCCAUCUGAGCUUGCCUUGCUGAGGAAACAAAGAGCAGGCUGCAGGACCAUAAUGAAAUGAGUAAUGUGGGGACAAGAUCCAAAGUCAAUGAGCUGACUUGAAAUAGCUGAGCAUCAAGGCCAUGAAGAACUGACAGCAGCAAAGCCACAACCAGCCACAGCCAUGAAAUUCAAGAGAGAUCAUUAAAAAAGAUUAAUAGAGACAGGAGCAGACAAGUUAAUGCCCAGUUUGAUGGACUGAGGAGGAAGAUAGGGCAGAAUGAUCAGUGGGGAGCAGAAAGGCUGUGUGCCCUGGGAGCCCUGACCUGCAUGCAGAGCCUGCCUGUGCAUUCACCUCCUCCUGCAGACACCCAGGGAAUGUGGGUUCCACUUGGAAACCACAGAGUUCAUGGGAAGUAGCAGCUCGUGCACUCUUUGUGCAAAUGAAAUGUCUAGGACAUAAAAAUCACCUUGGUGUGCCUUGUCUUCCAUCUCCUCUGUUAAAUAAUAAAUAGAAGCCUAAUGGAACUGAGCAUGACUGCAGGAUGCAGUGCAAGUGAAGGCAGAGCAGACCUGUGUGUUCCCCCUUACUUCAUCAUCAGUGAGUAAAUGGGUCACUGGAAAAUGAGAUCUAAGUAAAUCUCCAUCCCUUUUUUAUUCUGUCUUUAUCCUCAACCUACUGUAAUGAGAUAUGGCUCAAAAUCACACACCCCUGCUAAAAACACUAAAUAGAAACAUUACAAAUUAUCUCAUCAAACCGCCUUAUGUUUCUACUCUGAGCUCAAGAAAACUUCAGGAAAUAAAGUUUUUCAUUCUAGAAAUCCUUCAUUUGGUUUUUAAUUGUGCAGCAGGAUG